rnacentral:lncRNA from 1 species
UACAAGUUAAAUCAUUUUUCAAUUACUUUGUAUUCUCAAUUUUAGUUAGAUAGUAGUCUAUGAAGUACGGACACUCUUCGAAUAAGCCGUGUCCCUCUGUCGGACACUUGUUGUGUGUUGUUCGACACGACAAACAUAAUUACACUGAAUUUUAUGAUUUUCUUAAAUUAUUAACUGUGUCGGUGUGUCAAUGUCUGGUGUGUCAAUGUCUGUGUCGUGUCCGGUAUCCGUGUCCGUAUCCGUGCUUCAUAGGUAGUAGUAAAUGCUAAUUAAACCUAGUCAUGGUAAUUCAUGAAUAUAGUUAAUUAACUCAUAAAUAAAGCUCAAAAGCAUUCUUUAGUUAGUGUAAAUAAUAAUGAUGUCAAUGGUGUAUCUGAUAAUGAACUGUAAUCCCUGAUGGUCAGGCAUUUGUAUGUACUGCAAGACACACUACCCUGUGUAACUCAUCAGCUAUGUCUGUACCAUGGUGGAACUUUUGUGUACUAUCAUGAAUCAUUAAAUAUGCUUUAGUUUACUUCUUGGAUAUUUGGGGUCACAUGAUUAUUUUUCUCCUUUAUCUUUUUCUUUAGAAUCUAGAUUUCGAUCUUCGUUUUAUUCUUGAGUACUGAAGAAAAUAAAUCUCUUACUAUAUAUAAAGAUAUCUCAGAUGUUUGGACAUGACCCGUUUUAACUUUUACAUGAUGUGUGUCUUCUGUCAUAUGCAUUAUGCAAUAUUUGUUGCUCAUGUCAGUCAUUUUGAUUUUGAUACUUGUGUGUGCUGGUAAAUCUAGUACUUAACCAAGUGGCGUAUGUGCUGGUUCCUAUUUGAUGCAAGUGUAUAUGAACAUCAGUUACACUGCUUCUUUUGUUGUAAACCGAGGAUCGAGGGUUCAUAAGUCAUAACUGUCUUAGUCACACUCGGUCCUCGGAUAUGAUCACGUGGACCGGAAAAAAUGUCUUUAAGAGAUUCAAAUUCAAGACCUCUGGUUAAAUUUGUGUAAUCUCAUUACUACAAAGAAUAACUGGUGUCAUCGACACGUCCAAAGGUGGUCAAUAAUGAAGGAAAAUCAUUGGUAAUAAAAGCACUGUUGGAUGAUAUCAGUUCCACUUGGUACGUCCAAAAGUGGUUAAUAAUGAAGGAUAUGCUUUAUAUUCUUCAUAUUUUAAAGAACAGAAUAUUGUAUCAAAGUAAAAUAAAGGAAAUUAAACUUUUGACAAAAAAAAAGGGGAAUUAAGAUUGUGUUUUCUUUUACUUUUUUGGUCUUGGUAUUGUUUGGUUAAUUUUACACGACGAUCUGUAAUCUGCUGCUGCUUUAAUACUUCAUAAAAUGAGCUAGUUCUAC